GGUGUUGUGGUGUAGGGGUUAUCACGUCAGUUUAACACACUGAAGGUCCCAAGUUCGAUUCUUGGCAACAUCA